GUGAAUACAAGAUUUUUAACUUCAUAGAGAUUUAAACCCCACAUACAAACAUCGAGAUCUAGUACCACACAGGAACACUUAGAAGGAUCCUACGCUACCCAAUCUAGACGAUGUUGUAUUUUUCACCACAAUGAAACGAAUCCAUCCCACGACCCCAGAUGAACCAUCUCUUGCACCACCUAAUUCUACCACUAAAAAACCAAGAUUACAAACUUACUUCAAAACCAAACCAGAAAACCCCUAUUUUAAGAGACUAAUGAAGAUCACAAACAGGCGGCACCAAAUGAUUGGACUGAUAAAGCAUGGCCACCCGUUUCAACACCAAAGGUGCAUACUCUCAAUUUAGAAGCUUUCGGUAGGCUGAAGACAAGAGUUCGAAUCUGGCCAAGGAUCGUGAAGAUCAUAACCACUUGAGACCAUAACCAGAGGCUAGUGGACUAAGUGGAAUCUAUCAAAAUCCCAAAAGAUCGGGUUGAGGAGUCGGCACCAGCUAAGAUCCAGCUUGAGACCUGCUGCACAAAAGAGGAAGCACAUCUACCAUGUAUGACUAUCAAUGCGGUACUGCGAAUGAUCUGCUACCAAACGUGCAAGCAACAGAGUCUCAAAAUCUCCCGUAGACCAAGCGGAAUCAAAUGAGACUCAGCACGUUCUGCCUCUGAGAACCAGAGAACAGCUUUGCUUGCAGGGAACCAGAUCGCCGCUAUCGAAGCCCCGCUUGUCCACUGUGAAGUGUCUAUCUUCUGUUCUCCGACAAGACCAUAGACGAUCCAUUCCGGUUUCUAGAAGAGAUAAAACAUCACGCUCCUCUUGAGCCAGUCUGGCCAGCACACGCUCGCCAUAUGCACUCCGGGAACGUCUCUGAAGAGGGAGAUCUUCAAAGCUCACCUGGGCGAGAUCCGGGCAAAUGAGCUAUCCAACCACCGAGUCUGCUCCACUCGCCCCUACACGCGCCCCUCUCCCGUCGGAUCUGAACUGCAAACGUCCACCCUAGUCCGGCUUUUAGAUCUACAAGGAAGGGACAAGAAACGAAGCUACGCGCCUCCAUCACAGAGUUGAGAGCCGACAAAUCAAAACGGAAAACGAUUGUCGAGCUUCCUCAACGAACCCUAAACGCCGACCCUUCCCGGAGCUAUCUCUUCACUCGACUCGCUGGCGUUCCAAAGAUCCUUCUUCUGGCUACCUAGCUAUGCUCCGCCGCGGACAAAGCACCACUUGGAGCCUUCACUGAAACUCAGAAUCACGUUGCAUAUCGCCGAGGAGGGAGACAACCACCGAGAGGGCAAAUAAAAAGGAGAAGGGAAGAAGAAGAAGAGACCUCCGACACCGGGAGAGGGCACCGGCUG
rnacentral:lncRNA from 1 species